UCCCUGGUAGUCCGGUGGCUAAGACUCUGGGUUUCCAAUGCGGGGGUCCCAGGUUCGAUCCCUGAUCAGGGAA
rfam:Ovis aries breed Texel chromosome 15, whole genome shotgun sequence.